rnacentral:lncRNA from 1 species
AAUCAAAGAUCUAUUUUUUUUUUCCUUAUUCACCUUCAAAAUGAAAAAGUAUUCUUGAAACCGGGAAAACCGGUGAGGAGGAAGAGCUAUAAGAGGGAAUGGAGGAGAAUAAGGAGGAGGUUAAUGCCGUUGAUAGGUAAUCUAUAAAGUAUCAGAAGAAAGCAAAGGUUUGGUGCCAUUGAAGAAGAAGGAAAGAAGCAAAGUUUUUGAAACAAAAGCCCAUUCACGAUGAACUCUCUCAAACUCUUGACAGAAUUGGUGCCGCAAGGAGCGUGAUUUUUGGAGAGAAAUAAAUUUUCUUUUUGUUUUGGCCUUUUUCUUAUUUUUUUUGUUGUUUUGAGGAAUAAUGUGGAUGAGAUUGACAGAAAGAGAAUAAAACUUGGUGAAUUAUUGAGGCAAGGGGGAAGAGGAGGCCAAUAUGAGGGGAAAAAAAAAGAAAACAGGAGAUUUUGGAAGUUGGGUACUGUCUGGAUAUGUAUCCGAAUUAGGUUUAACUAUUUUGGCGGUUAUUAAUUUUUUUUUUUUCACUGGAAGAGAAAAAGGAAAUGAGAUUUUUACAGAUUGAUAUACCUUUUUUUUUUAUGAUAACAUAUUAUUUUUUAUAAAAAUGAGGUUGAAAUUUUACUUUGCGAAAAUGAACUUUUAAAGAAUAAUUUUAUGAAGUUAUUUGAAAAAGAGAUAUAAUAAUUUUGCUAUAUGUAUUUGGUUAAAUUUUAUAUUUGAUUUAUUUAGUUAUAUUUUUUAUUUGUUAAUUAAUUUAUUUGAUUAUUUAUUAAAUUUUUAUAUAAAUAUAAUACUUGAUUAUAAUUAUAAAUUUUUUAGUCAUAAUUUUAUAAAAAGUUGCAAUGCAUUGCCCUUUUUUAAGGUUUUAUAAAAGAAUUUAAUAUAUAUUAAAAAAAUUUUAAUAUACAGUAAUAAAUGUGAUUUUUUAAAUAAAUGCAAGUUAUAUUUGGUUCAAUUGUUGCCUUCUUUGGGGGAUUGAAAUCUAAAUUGAUACUUUCUAAGAUUUGAAUCCCUAUUUCAUUUAUACCUUCCAUAUGUAUCAAAAAUAUUGAAUUCAAAUUAUUCUUCUAAAAAUUAGAAAAAAUAAAUCCAAAUAUCCAAUGGAUAUUAUAUUUAUGGUUAACUAACUUAAAAUUUAUAUAAAAAUAAAAAAUACUAUAUAUUUAAAAAUAUAAUAUAAUAUUUUAUUUUAUAUAUCAACGGAGGAGAUUUAAAUAAUUGAUGGUAUUCUACCAAAACAACUUUGUCAAUUUAUUUUUUUUUAUAAUUCAAUGAACAUGAAGUUUUGGUUUUGUGAUAAGAAGGAGGUUUUAGAAUUUUCGAGUUUUAAGUUCAAGUUUAAUUAUAUUUUAUUUGAUUGUCUAAUUAUGUUUUAUUUUGUUAAUUAAUUAUUUAAUGAUAUAUUAUAUAUAGAUGUAAUAUUUGAUUAUUAUUAUUAUAAUUUAUUUUAUAUUUGUAAUUUAAUAAAUAAUCCAAUAAACACUUAUUAAUUAACAAAACCCAUUUAAAUAGAAUUUAAAACUUCAUGUGAAUGUAUAAAAUGACGGUAAUUUAUACAUGUCAAAACUUAUUGAAUAUAAAUUACACAAAUUUUUUUUUAAUUGUACUUUGAAUUGUUAGGAUUGAAACUCUAAUAGCUAAAACAGAAUCUAGAAUUCUACCGAAUUUUAUUUUCUCUCAUAAACCUCACUUUUCCUUUUGGUCGAAGGACUAAUUAAAUAAAGAAAUCAAUGAUCCAUAAAGAUUGGAUCUAAGUUCACCUCAUCUUAUUAUGCUAUUGGGUGUGAUAUGAAAGGACACAAACCCUUGAUAAAAAAAAAAAAAAAAAAAGAGGACUUGGCAUCACGAUGGGAGGGUUGAAAUUAUUAUAAUCUAAAGCUAGGUUUAUGCACAGUCGAUUUGAUCAAGAGUAGGAUAAGGAGAGAAAAAUUGUAGCCAUAAACAAAUCCCAAGUUCUAGUAGCUGCCUCUUAGAUCUAGGUUUUAGUUUUUCCAUCUAUUAUUGUUUGCUUUAAUAUUAAAAAUCUGAUUUUGUAUCAAAAAAGAAUUUAUAUUUUCUUUUGAUCUUCCAUUUUUCUAUUUUGGUGGGAAAUUUUGUGGUAAUCAUGCAUAGUCUAAUAUAAAAUGAUUAGGUUGGAAAAAUAAUGAUAGUAGCAUGAUAAUGACAAAACCUCAUUGUAAAUGCCAAGGAUAUUUAUUGGUUAAAAGGAUAUCAUAUCCUUUUUUUUAUGUUAACAAUUUUCAACAAAUAAUCAAGGUAAUUUUAAUAUUUAUGUUGAUCUCAUAUAUCAUAUCGAUAUGAUAUUUUCAGUGCUACAUUAAUCUGGAUAAUAUUUUUAUUGUUUCCUAAUAAUUUUUUAUCACUUAUCUAUAAAUAUAAAGGUCUAUAUUAUAUAAAAGUAACACACACUACUCUCUCUUAUCUUUAUUACUUUUUUUUCGACAACAUUGUUUUUGGUUGUGUGUCGAACUACAAAUGUGAAAAAUAUUUUAUGCCUUUACAUAUAAUCAUUCUUCUCUUUUGUUUUCUUAAAAAUAUUUUGAGAUCGAAGCUUAAUACAAACAAUAAUAAUUUUGAUAGUUGGAGAUUCGAUAAAGUUGUAUUUUUUUGUAUAUAAAAAAUUAAGGGAGUGUAUACAAAAAAUAAUAAAAAAUAAUAAAAAAAAGUGUCUUCAAAUACAUAUUGUAAAAUUUUAAAAAUAAAAUUUUAUUAUUUUAUGUUUUCUUAGCAAUCUGGGUAAUAAAGGGUACUUUUAUUUUCAAUUACCUCAAAUGGGAUUUGGUUUAUUCAAUCCAAAGUUGAAUAUUUUCCUUCAAUUUCCCCCUUUCUCUAGCCAACCAAACAGAAAAACUACAACAAGAGAAAAAACUAAAUAGAAGAUAUUGGAUUUUCGAUAAAAUUUGUAUAAAAAUCGCCAAAAGGGUACUUUUUUUAAAAUCAAAGAUCUAUUUUUUUUCCUUAUUCACCUUCAAAAUGCAAAAGUUUUCUUGAAACCGGGAAAACCGGUGAGGAGGAAGAGCUAUAAGAGGGAAUGGAGGAGAAUAAGGUGGAGGUUAAUGCCGUUGAUAGGUAAUCUAUAAAGUAUCAGAAGAAAGCAAAGGUUUGGUGCCAUUGAUGAAGAAGGAAAGAAGCAAAGUUUUUGAAACAAAAGCCCAUUCACGAUGAACUCUCUCAAACUCUUGACAGAAUUGGUGCCACAAGGAGCGUGAUUUUUGGAGAGAAAUAAAUUUUCUUUUUGUUUUGGCCUUUUUUUUAUUGUUUUUGUUGUUUUGAGGAAUAAUGUGGAUGAGAUUGACAGAAAGAGAAUAAAACUUGGUGAAUUAUUGAGGCAGGGGGGAAGAGGUGGCCAAUACGAGGGAAAAAAAA